rnacentral:rRNA from 1 species
CCUACGGUGGGCAGCAGUAGGGAAUCUUCCACAAUGGGCGAAAGCCUGAUGGAGCAACGCCGCGUGGGUGAAGAAGGUCUUCGGAUCGUAAAACCCUGUUGUUAGAGAAGAAAGUGCGUGAGAGUAACUGUUCACGUUUCGACGGUAUCUAACCAGACAGCCACGGCUAACUACGUGCCAGCAGCCGCGGUAAUACGUAGGUGGAAAGCGUUAUCCGGAUUUAUGGGGCGUAAAGGGAACGCAGGCGGUCUUUUAAGUCUGAUGUGAACGCCUUCGGCUUAACCGGAGUAGUGCAUUGGAAACUGGGAGACUUGAGUGCAGAAGAGGAGAGUGUAACUCCAUGUGUAGCGGUGAAAUGCGUAGAUAUAUGGAAGAACACCAGGGGCGAAAGCGGCUCUCUGGUCUGUAACUGACGCUGAGGUUCGAAAGCGUGGGUAGCAAACAGGAUUAGAUACCCGAGUAGUC